GAUCCAACAGCUGGAGGUGCUUAAAUUUUCUCAUUGAGGACGGGAAUUUUCCUUGCAAUCCACAGGAAUAGAGUACGAGUGAUGACAAAGAAGAAGACAUAUUCAUCAAGGAAUUGGGUCCAACCAAUGACAUGUUUACCCCACUCAGAUCGAGUUCUCUAAGCUGGGUUAGAUUUCGAACAAGCUUGUCAAAAGAAAUUGGUUCUAGACUUGGGUAGUAGUUUCCAGAGAGAUCAAGCGAAACCAAUUUGGAGAGCUGAGAGAUUUCCGAUGGAACUUGACCUGCAAAGCCUGAGAAAUUUAGGUUAAGAUGUGUCAGGUUGGAGAACUGGCCAAAUGGAGAAGAAAUAUGGGAGCUUUGGAAAUCAUUGUCAGAGAGGUCGAGCUUUUGAAGAUGAUGCAGGGAGAAGAGGGUGCUAUUGGGAUGGAGGGUGCCAUAAAGCAUGCUGCAAGAGAGGUCCAGUGCAGUGACUUGCCCGGUUUUCAUGUCACAAGUGACCCCAUCCCACAAACAGCAGUCUGUACCCUCUUUCCACGACUCUGUCUUGGGAUGCUGGCAACGCCCUGAAGCAGAGCUACUAAUGGAAAAGGACUCUUUGAAUUGGAGCAAAGAAAGACUUUGGUCAGGAGCACAGAAAUGAGAUGAAGAGGAGUAAUUUGAUGAAGAAAUUGUUGCGUGAAAAUGGAAGAGAAACAGAAUGGAAGAGAGAAAUUGAGAGAGGGACAGUGGUGAAAACCCCAUGGUGGCUGGCCUUACAGGAUUCGAAAG